rnacentral:sRNA from 1 species
AAAUUAUUUCCCAUUUCAAAGGAAACAUCAUAGAACAGCGUUGAAGCUCAGGGUUUUGAGAACACAACUUUUGUCUGAGGCGGAGUUUUCUGCUUUUAUUCAUAUUCCGAUCCACUGAACCAAGACAUUGGAGUCUGAAGAGGCGCUGCCCUGCCCCUUCUGCUUUCAGUUUACCAAGUAGAAAGGGCGACUGAAACGAAGCUUGCGUUUGAUGACAUUACGGGUUAGCAGCAAGGGAAGGUACACAGCUAGACGGGCCCGGAUUUGAUCAGCAGUUCCAGCUAUUCUUCAGAUGCUCUGGAUUUUGAGACGGAGCACAAAUUGGACCCUGUAUUUGAUUCUCCACGGAUGUCCCGCCGUAGUUUGCGCCUGGCCACGACAGCAUGCACCCUGGGGGAUGGUGAGGCUGUGGGUGCCAACAGCGGCACCAGCAGCGCUGUCUCCCUGAAGAACCGAGCGGCCAGAACAGCAAAACAGCGCAGAAGCACAAACAAAUCAGCUUUUAGUAUCAACCACGUGUCAAGGCAGGUCACAUCCUCUGGCGUCAGCCAUGGCGGCACUGUCAGCCUGCAGGAUGCUGUGACUCGACGGC